CCAUCAUUAAGAGAAGUGAGCAGUUCCUGGUUUGUCAGAGAAGAAAGAAGAGAAGCAGCAUUAAAGCAUCAGAGCCUCAACAUGAAAGUCUUCCACACUUUUUUCUGUUUCCUCUUCAUCGGUUCAGACUGGUUUGUGCUUUGAGCUGUUUGGUUCCUGCAGAGCUGAAGAAGGACGACGGUGGAGCUCAGGAGAGGAGCAGAAAGCUGUUGGACUGCAACAAGUUGAGUGGCUGCAGGUUUUCACCAACAUGGAAAGGACCCAUCAGAACCUAGAACCAGGACCAGAACCAGGACCAGGACCAGGACCAGGACCAGAACCCAGCUGUGUGUCUAUGAAGAGUGAUCAGUCAAAGGAUGAAAUCACUGACUUUAAAAGACGACAACCCUCUGAUGUACAGAAGAUCCAUCAGAGUCCAGAACCAGGACCAGGACCAGGACCAGAAUCCAGCUGUGUUUCUAUGAAGAGUGAUCUCUCAAAGGAGGACUUCAUUGACUUUAAAAGACGACAACCCUCUGCUGGACAGAAGUAAGAUACUGUAGU